rnacentral:rRNA from 1 species
GACGAACGCUGGCGGCGUGCUUAACACAUGCAAGUCGAACGGAAAGGCCCUGCUUGCAGGGUGCUCGAGUGGCGAACGGGUGAGUAACACGUGGGUGAUCUGCCCCUUACUUUGGGAUAAGCCUGGGAAACUGGGUCUAAUACUGGAUAGGACCAUGCUGUAGGUGGUGUGGUGGAAAGAUUAGUUUCGGUAAGGGAUGAGCUCGCGGCCUAUCAGCUUGUUGGUGGGGUAAUGGCCUACCAAGGCGUCGACGGGUAGCCGGCCUGAGAGGGUGGACGGCCACAUUGGGACUGAGAUACGGCCCAGACUCCUACGGGAGGCAGCAGUGGGGAAUAUUGCACAAUGGGCGCAAGCCUGAUGCAGCGACACCGCGUGGGGGAUGACGGCCUUCGGGUUGUAAACUCCUUUCAGCCAUGACGAAGCCCUUGUGGUGACGGUAGUGGUAGAAGAAGCACCGGCUAACUACGUG